GCUGCCACCAUCCAAGCUCUCUCGGCCCCGGCAGAUGAACCUUAGGAUCAAAGGGUGGGCUCAGUUCAGCGUACGCUGUGUCUCACCUAAAAAAUCCACCGCGCAGGCUCGAAGGCCUUACCCGCAUUUGCAAAGCCCUGUAUCACCAGUGCACUUGUAACAAUUGUGGGUAAAGACCUUUGCCAAAUCUUCGUUUGCGAAGACUGGCCAUGAUGAUGAUGAUGAUGAUGAUUCUACUCCUCCCGAGGGCUGUGGAACAUCACACCGACCCUCUCCUUUCUUCCUCUGCCCUCUUCUGAGGCUUCCUGUUUUGACCAAAUUUUGUGCUACCAUCACUAUGUAGAUGACCACAACUACUUGUACAUAGGCCAUGAGUCAGUAGAAAAGUGAGUUCCUAUCUACAGGAAUACACUUCAUCAGUGAUGUGCUUUGGUGAACAGAGACUAAAACUGGACCCAGAAUCUCUGCUUUAAGCUGCCAUUGCCGGUGGACACACCAAGAGCUAGUGCAAAACACCUGAAUUAGAGAAAGUUAAGUGGCUACACCGAGACAGGUGACAUACCCAUGAAUU